GAUGAACGCUGGCGGCGUGCCUAAUACAUGCAAGUCGAGCGAACAGACGAGGAGCUUGCUCCUCUGACGUUAGCGGCGGACGGGUGAGUAACACGUGGAUAACCUACCUAUAAGACUGGGAUAACUUCGGGAAACCGGAGCUAAUACCGGAUAAUAUAUUGAACCGCAUGGUUCAAUAGUGAAAGACGGUUUUGCUGUCACUUAUAGAUGGAUCCCCGCCGCAUUAGCUAGUUGGUAAGUUAACGGCUUACCAAGGCAACGAUGCGUAGCCGACCUGAGAGGGGGAUCGGCCACACUGGAACGGAGACACGGUCCAGACUCCUACGGGAGGCAGCAGUAGGGAAUCUGCCGCAAUGGGCGAGAGCCUGACGGAGCAACGCCGCGUGAGUGAUGAAGGUCUUCGGAUCGUAAAGCUCUGUUAUGAGGGAAGAACAAAUGUGUAAGUAACUAUGCACGUCUUGACGGUACCUAAUCAGAAAGCCACGGCUAACUACGUG
rnacentral:rRNA from 1 species